ACACCUCAACUCUCAUGGUUUGCCAUGCUGGGUUUGGACUUUGGGGGUCUUGCUGGCUUAUGGUAGUCGGCUCCUCUCAAAUGGAUCAGCUUGCCAGUGUUUGGUGGUGAUGCGGGUGUGAUAACUAUCUACGCUUGCGGCUCCCCACCAGGUAACUUUCAGUGAUGGAAGUUCGCUGGAGCUAAUAAAUGUCUCUCCUCAGUGGAGACAGCUCUUUGAA
rnacentral:misc_RNA from 1 species